CCCUCAGUGACUCAGUCCAUCUCUCGACCACUCCCUCAGUCUCUCUCUCUCUCGAACUCGAGCGAGGUUCUGACUUCUGAGCCUCAGUUCGAAGAAUCGAAUCGCUCGACCCAUUCGAUUUCAUUUCACGUCAAAGCGAUUCGAUUCACAUUAGUCGAUCAAUUGUUGCAGACUGCUGGUGAGUACGAGCUCGGAGCUUCAAUUGUUUUGGAUUGUUGAGUUGAGGACGAGGGAAUUUGUUCAUACGGCUGUGUCACGAUUCUUGCUCAUUGCAUUAGGUGCUGGUGUUGGUUUGGGAGUAAAUAUAUUGAUAUAUCCCAUUUGGGCUGGUGUUCCAAUCUCGAGUUCUCAACAAUUCAAGAAAUCUUACAAUCAAGGCUUAGAAGUUAGAACUGGAGCAACGUAGGAGCAUUGCAGUUGGUCGGUUUGGACCUACAGAAACUUUGAGUCUUUAAGUGAGGCAAGGAGCACAACAAGCUAAUAUGAAGUGACAAUGAGAUGAAAUUUGAGUCUUUGAAUACUUUGUUUUAAACUAUUGUCCGCUUUGUUAUUGUAUGAUUCAUUCAUUUGUGUGAACCGUAAGUGAUGAUAUGAAGUGAUGAUGAGAUGAACUGUAAGUGAUGAUAUGAAUUAUGAAGUGAUGAACUGAUGAUGAGAUGAACUGUAAGUGAUGAACUGAAGUUGAUGUGAGAGAAUGAGAGAUUGAGAGUUAUAAGUUUUUUUAUUGUUUUACAUUUGUGUAUGGUCUGGGCCUUUAAAUUCAUAAAAGUUAUUUGAUUGCUUUUC